rnacentral:rRNA from 1 species
UACGUAGGGCGCAAGCGUUGUCCGGAAUUAUUGGGCGUAAAGAGCUCGUAGGCGGUCUGUCGCGUCUGCUGUGAAAUCCCGAGGCUCAACCUCGGGCUUGCAGUGGGUACGGGCAGACUAGAGUGCGGUAGGGGAGAACGGAAUUCCUGGUGUAGCGGUGGAAUGCGCAGAUAUCAGGAGGAACACCGAUGGCGAAGGCAGUUCUCUGGCCGUAACUGACGCUGAGGAGCGAAAGCGUGGGGAGCGACAGGAUUAGAU